rnacentral:rRNA from 1 species
GACGAACGCUGGCGGCGUGCCUAAUACAUGCAAGUCGAACGCACAGUUUAUACCGUAGCUUGCUACACCAUAGACUGUGAGUUGCGAACGGGUGAGUAACGCGUAGGUAACCUGCCUGGUAGCGGGGGAUAACUAUUGGAAACGAUAGCUAAUACCGCAUCAUAUUGAUUAUUGCAUGAUAAUUGAUUGAAAGAUGCUAUUGCAUCACUACCAGAUGGCCCUGCGUUGUAUUAGCUAGUAGGGGAGGUAACGGCUCACCUAGGCGACGAUACAUAGCCGACCUGGGAGGGUGAUCGGCCACACUGGGACUGAGACACGGCCCAGACUCCUACGGGAGGCAGCAGUAGGGAAUCUUCGGCAAUGGACGAAAGUCUGACCGAGCAACGCCGCGUGAGUGAAGAAGGGUUUCGGAUCGUAAAGCUCGGUUGUAAGAGAAGAACGGUUGGGAGAGUGGAAAGUUCACACUGUGACGGUAUCUUACCAGAAAGGGACGGCUAACUACGUG